rnacentral:rRNA from 1 species
UGGGGAAUAUUGCACAAUGGGCGCAAGCCUGAUGCAGCCAUGCCGCGUGUAUGAAGAAGGCCUUCGGGUUGUAAAGUACUUUCAGCGAGGAGGAAGGCGUUGUGGUUAAUAACCGCAGCGAUUGACGUUACUCGCAGAAGAAGCACCGGCUAACUCCGUGCCAGCAGCCGCGGUAAUACGGAGGGUGCAAGCGUUAAUCGGAAUUACUGGGUGUAAAGCGCACGCAGGCGGUCUGUCAAGUCGGAUGUGAAAUCCCCGGGCUCAACCUGGGAACUGCAUCCGAAACUGGCAGGCUAGAGUCUUGUAGAGGGGGGUAGAAUUCCAGGUGUAGCGGUGAAAUGCGUAGAGAUCUGGAGGAAUACCGGUGGCGAAGGCGGCCCCCGGGACAAAGACUGACGCUCAGGUGCGAAAGCGUGGGGAGCAAACA